GUGGCGCAGUGGUUGAGAGUCCACCUGCCGAUGCAGGGGACACGGGUUCGUGCCCCGGUCCGGGAAGAUCCCACAUGCCGCGGAGCGGCUGGGCCCACGAGCCAUGGCUGCUGAGCCUGUGCUCCGCAACGGGAGAGGCCACAACAGUGAGAGGCCCGGGUACCGGUAAAAAAAAAAAAAAAAAAAGUGAAAAACUAGAGAAAA